rnacentral:rRNA from 1 species
UACAGAGGUGCCAAGCGUUAGGCGGAAUCACUGGGCUUAAAGCGCGUGUAGGCGGGUCGUUAAGUGUCUUGUGAAAUCCCACGGCUCAACCGUGGAACUGCUGGGCAUACUGACGAUCUUGAGGCACUCAGGGGCUGUCGGAACAAAUGGUGGAGCGGUGAAAUGCGUAGAUAUCAUUUGGAACGCCAACGGUGAAAACAGACAGCUGGGGGUGUCCUGACGCUGAGACGCGAAAGCCAGGGGAGCGAACGGGAUUAGAUACCCCGGUAGUCCUGGCCCUAAACGAUGUCCACUAGGCCGCGGCGGCUCUGACGCCGUCGCGGCCGGAGCAAAAGUGUUAAGUGGACCGCCUGGGAAGUACGGUCGCAAGGCUAAA